CUGGCAAUGUCCACAUUUGAAAUCCCUUCUAAGUGAAGAAGACCCUCCAGGGAUUGGUAAAUUAUUAGUAAAUAGUGAAAAGUAUGAAGUGUCAAAGUUCAUCCAGACUGGGGGAAAAAAGUCUAAGAUAGAGAACAUCACGUUGGGAUGAUUUUAGAUGGCUAUAGCAAAAUAUUCAUUAUAGCGCACAGGGCAAAUUCUUGACUCCAUUUUGUAUCAAAGAUAAGGAAAAAUUAGACAGUGUUGUGCUGGCCAGGUGUGGUG
rnacentral:lncRNA from 10 species